CUCAGGUAGUGUGUCGAACCAAGUUCCGUGGAGCAGCCAUCUUCGGAACCCCAAUCUCCCUUCGUUCACACGAACCGAGCCCCCUCCUCCGGCUUGCGAUCACUCUGGACAUGGACUUAUUGCCGGCGCCGCACAGCUACUUGUGCCCAGAGGUGGGCUGCCCACCGCCUCUACCACCGACAGCUUCUUUAGUCUACACACUUCAUUUAUUUUAACGAAACUUAAUCUGACGUCCAAAGGAGGCCACUUUGUGAGAACAACUAGAAAUGAUCUUCAUUGAUGACCACGUCCGAUUUCUUAUUGGUUUAAAGGUUUAAAAAAAAAAAAAAAAAAAAAAAAAAAAAAAAAAAAAAAAGCUAACAUUAGCUAGCUAGCUAGUAGCUAGCAUGUUAGCUGUCUAAUAAAAUACUGCCAUUGGAAUUUGAAGACAGUCCGCACAGGACAUGAUGCUUGACAGCAAUACAACCGAAGGAGCAGUCUUGUAAACGCAAUGAAAUAGCACUUUGUAGUUUAGCGGACAGAGGUUCAGCUAACCCUGGUCUGCCCAGCCCCUCUGAUGGAAAUAUCGGUCAAAGGAGAGGGGCUGCAUUGAGCGCGCACUCCCGAUUAAGCGCGUUCUUGAGGCAUUUCCCACAAAAUGGCUGCCAAAACAAACCUAACGCGAGCGCUUCUCUACAACCAGUCCUCGCGACAAAAGUGGUAAUAUUGACGUGAAAAGGUUAAUGCUCAAGUAUACCGGUGUAUGUUGUGAGCAUGCGGAUCCAGAAUAACUUGUAUUUGGCAUCAAGCAGAAACGCAGCUUUGACCAGCAGUUUAAAAUAAAAACGGGAUGUUUUCACUGAAUAUCAUCCCGCAUGAAUCGGAAACGACAGCAAGUCUUGUAUGCUAGACCUGAACUACAUACAUUUGGAAAAUAAAUAAAUAAAUAAUAAAAAGACGUCCUGCGCAGCAGCUGCAUAA